GACGAACGCUGGCGGCGUGCCUAAUACAUGCAAGUCGAGCGGACCAAAGGGAGCUUGCUCCUGGAGGUUAGCGGCGAACGGGUGAGUAACACGUGGGCAACCUGCCUGUAAGACUGGGAUAACAUCGAGAAAUCGGUGCUAAUACCGGAUAAUAAAAAGAACUGCAUGGUUCUUUUUUGAAAGAUGGUUUCGGCUAUCACUUACAGAUGGGCCCGCGGCGCAUUAGCUAGUUGGUGAGGUAACGGCUCACCAAGGCGACGAUGCGUAGCCGACCUGAGAGGGUGAUCGGCCACACUGGGACUGAGACACGGCCCAGACUCCUACGGGAGGCAGCAGUAGGGAAUCUUCCGCAAUGGACGAAAGUCUGACGGAGCAACGCCGCGUGAGUGAUGAAGGUUUUCGGAUCGUAAAACUCUGUUGUUAGGGAAGAACAAGUGCCGUUCGAAAGGGCGGCACCUUGACGGUACCUAACGAGAAAGCCACGGCUAACUACGUGCCAGCAG
rnacentral:rRNA from 1 species